GAUGAACGCUGGCGGCGUGCCUAAUACAUGCAAGUCGAGCGAAGCGAGGACGGGGGAGUAACACGUGGAUAAACUCAGUUAAGACUGGGAUAACUUCGGAAAACCGUUGCUAAACUGGAUACUCAUAUAUGGAUCCGCGCUUCAUUAGCUAGUUGGUAAGGUAAUGGCUUACCAAGGCAACGAUGCAUAGCCGACCUGAAAGGGUGAUCGGCCACACUGGAACUGAGACACGGUACAGACUCCUACGGGAGGCAGCAGGAGGGAAUCUUCCGCAAUGGGCGAAAGCCUGACGGAGCAACGCCGCGUGAGUGAUGAAGGUCUUCGGAUCGUAAAACUCUGUUAUUAGGGAAGCGGUACCUAAUCAGAAAGCCACGGCUAACUACGUGCAAACCGCCGCGGUAAUAC
rnacentral:rRNA from 1 species